GUCAUUAAUCAGCUCCACCAAUCAAAGAGACGGAACACUAGUCAUCAGUCAGCUCCACCAAUCAGAAAAAACGGAAUACUAGUCAUCAGUCAGCUCCACCAAUCAGAACAGACGGAUCACUAGUCAAUCAGCUACAUCAGUCAGAAGUGACGGAACACUAAUCAUCAGUUGGCUCCUUUGAUCAGAAGUGACGGAACACUAGUCACGAGUCAGCUCCUUUGAUCAGAAGUGAAGGAACACUAGUCAUGAGUCAGCUCCACCUAUCAAAGUUUUGGAACACUAGUCAUCAGUUAGCUCACCUGAUCAGAACAGACAGAAAAGUAGUCAUAAGUCAGCUCCACCAAUCAGAAGUGACGGAACACUAAUCAUCAGUCAGCUCCACCAAUCAAGGAGAUGGAACACUAGUCAGGAGUCAGCUACCCCGAUCAGAAGUGAUGGAAUACUAGUCAUCAGUUGGCUCCUUUGAUCAAAAGUGACGGAACACUAGUCAUGAGUCAGCUCCACCAAUCAAAGAGACGGAACACUAGUUAGGAGUCGGCUCCUUUGAUCAGAAGUGACGGAACACUAGUCAUGAGUGAGCUCCACCAAUCAAAGAGAUGGAAGACUAGUCAUGAGUAAGCUCCACAAAUCAAAGAGAUGGAACACUAGUCAUGAGUCGGCUCCUUCGAUCAGAAGUGACGGAACACUAGUCAUGAGUCAGCUCCACCAAUUAGAAGUGACGGAACACUAGUCAUCAGUCAGCUCCACCAAUCAGAACAGACGGAACACUAGUCAUUAGUCAGCUCCACCAAUUAGAAGUGACGGAACACUAGUCAUCAGUAAGCUCCACCAAUCAGAACAGACGGAAUACUAGUCAUUAAUCAGCUACAUCAGUCAGAAGUGACGGAACACUAGUCAUCAGUUGGCUCCAUUGAUCAGAAGUGACGGAACACUAGUCAUCAGUUGGCUCCUUUGAUCAGAAGUGACGGAACACUAGUCAUGAGUGAGCUCCACCAAUCAAAGAGAUGGUACAGGAGUCAAGAGUCAGCUCCACCAAUCAAAGAGAUGGAACACUAGUCAUGAGACAGCUCCACCAAUCAGAAGUGAUGGAACAUUAGUCAUGAGUGAGCUCUACCAAUCAAAGAGAUGGAACACUAGUCAUGAGUCGGCUCCUUUGAUCAGAACAGACGGAACACAAGUCAUGAGUCAGCUCCACCAAUCAGAACAGAUCAAACACUAGUCAUCAGUCAUUUACACCAAUCAAAGAAAUGGAACACUAGUCAUCAGUCAGCCCCCCUGAUCAGAAGUGACGGAACACUAGUCAUUAGUCAGCUACACCAAUCAGAAGUGACGGAACACUAGUCAUUAAUCAGCUCCACCAAUCAAAGAGACGGAACACUAGUCAUCAGUCAGCUCCACCAAUCAGAACAGAUGGAACACUAGUCAUGAUUAAUUUCCACAAAUCAAAUAGAUGGAACACUAGUCAUCAGUUAGCUCCUUGAUCAGAUGUGAUGGAACACUAGUCAUUAGUCAGCUCCACCAAUCAAAGAGACGGAACACUAGUCAUCAGUUAGCUCCCCUGAUCAGAACAAACGGAACAGAAGUCAUAAGUCAGCUCCACCAAUCAGAACAGAUCGAACACUAGUCAUCAGUCAUUUCCACCAAUCAAAGACAUGGAACACUAGUCAUCAGUCAGCUACAUCAGUCAGAAGUGACGGAACACUAGUCAUCAGUUGGCUCCUUUGAUCAGAAGUGACGGAACACUAGUCAUCAGUCAGCUCCACCAAUCAAAGAGACGGAAAUCUAGUCAUGAGUCAGCUCCACCAAUCAAAGAGACGGAAAUCUAGUCAUGAGUCAGCUCCACCAAUCAAAGAGACGGAACACUAGUCAUCAGUCAGCUCCAUCAAUCAGAACAGACGGAAUACUAGUCAUUAAUAUGCUCCACCAAUCAGAACAGAUCAAACACUAGUCAUCAGUCAUUUCCACCAAUCAAAGAGAUGGAACACUAGUCAUCAGUCAGCCCCCCUGAUCAGAAGUGACGGAACACUAGUCAUCAGUCAUUUCCACCAAUCAAAGAGAUGGAACACUAGUCAUCAGUCAGCCACCCUGAUCAGAACAGACGGAACAGUAGUCAUCAGUGAUAUCCACCAAUGAGAACAGACGGAAUACUAGUCAUCAGUCAGCUCCACCAAUCAGAACAGACGGAACACUAGUCAUUAAUCAGCUAAAUCAGUCAGAAGUGACGGAACACUAGUCAUCACUUGGCUCCUUUGAUCAGAAGUGACGGAACACUAGUCAUAAGUCAGCUCCACCAAUCAGAAAAGACGGAACACUAGUGAUGAGUCAGUUCCCCUGAUCAGAACAGACGGAACAGUAGUCAUAAGUCAGCUCGACCAAUUAGAAGUGACGGAACACUAGUCAUCAGUCAGCUACACUAAUCAAAGAGAUGGAACACUAGUCAUGAGUCAGCUCUACCAAUCAGAAGUGAUGGAACAUUAGUCAUGAGUGAGCUCCACCAAUCAAAGAGGUGGAAGACUAGUCAUGAGUAAGCUCCACAAAUCAAAGAGAUGGAACACUAGUUAGGGGUCGGCUCCUUUGAUCAGAAUUGACGGAACACUAGUCAUCAGUCAGCUCCACCAAUCAAAGAGACGGAACACUAGUCAUCAGUCAGCUCCACCAAUCAGAAUAGAUGGAACACUAGUCAUGAGUAAUUUCCACAAAUCAAAUAGAUGGAACACUAGUCAUCAGUUAGCUCCCUGAUCAGAAGUGAUGGAACACUAGUCAUGAGUCAGCUCCACCAAUCAAAGAGACGGAACACUAGUCAUCAGUCAGCUCCACCAAUCAGAAUAGAUGGAACACUAGUCAUGAGUAAUUUCCACAAAUCAAAUAGAUGGAACACUAGUCAUCAGUUAGCUCCCUGAUCAGAAGUGAUGGAACACUAGUCAUUAGUCAGCUCCACCAAUCAAAGAGACGGAACACUAGUCAUCAGUUAGCUCCCCUGAUCAGAACAGACGGAACAGUAGUCAUAAGUCAGCUCCACCAAUCAGAACAGAUAGAAAAUUAGUCAUCAGACAUUUCCACCAAUCAAAGAGAUGGAACACUAGUCAUCAGUCAGCUCCCCCGAUCAGAAGUGAUGGAACACUAGUCAUGAGUCAGCUCCACCAAUCAAAGAGAUGGAACACUAGUUAGGAGUCGGCUCCUUUGAUCAGAAGUGACAGAACACUAGUCAUGAGUCAGCUCCACCAAUCAUUCGGCUCCUUUGAUCAGAAGUGACGGAACACUAGUCAUGAGUCAGCUCCACUAAUUAGAAGUGACGGAACACUAGUCAUCAGUCAGCUCCACCAAUCAGAACAGACGGAAUACUAGUCAUUAAUAUGCUCCACCAAUCAGAACAGAUCAAACACUAGUCAUCAGUCAUUUCCACCAAUCAAAGAGAUGGAACACUAGUCAUCAGUCAGCCACCCUGAUCAGAACAGACGGAACAGUAGUCAUCAGUGAGCUCCACCAAUGAGAACAGACGGAAUACUAGUCAUCAGUCAGCUCCACCAAUCAGAACAGACGGAACACUAGUGAUGAGUCAGCUACACUAAUCAAAGAGAUGGAACACUAGUCAUGAGUCAGCUCCACCAAUCAGAAGUGAUGGAACAUUAGUCAUGAGUGAGCUCCACCAAUCAAAGAGGUGGAAGACUAGUCAUGAGUCAGCUCCACAAAUCAAAGAGAUGGAACACUAGUUAGGGGUCGGCUCCUUUGAUCAGAAUUGACGGAACACUAGUCAUCAGUCAGCUCCACCAAUCAAAGAGACGGAACACUAGUCAUCAGUCAGCUCCACCAAUCAGAAUAGAUGGAACACUAGUCAUGAGUAAUUUCCACAAAUCAAAUAGAUGGAACACUAGUCAUCAGUUAGCUCCCUGAUCAGAAGUGAUGGAACACUAGUCAUCAGUCAUUUCCACCAAUCAAAGAGAUGGAACACUAGUCAUCAGUCAGCUCCCCCGAUCAGAAGUGAUGGAACACUAGUCAUGAGUCAGCUCCACCAAUCAAAGAGACGGAACACUAGUCAUCAGUCAGCUCCCCCGAUCAGAAGUGAUGGAACACUAGUCAUGAGUCAGCUCCACCAAUCAAAGAGACGGAACACUAGUCAUCAGUCAGCUCCACCAAUCAGAAUAGAUGGAACACUAGUCAUGAGUAAUUUCCACACAAUCAUCAUUCGGCUCCUUUGAUCACAAGUGUCGGAACACUAGUCAUGAGUCAGCUCCACCAAUCAAAGAGACGGAACACUAGUCAUCAGUUAGCUCCCUGAUCAGAAGUGAUGGAACACUAGUCAUUAGUCAGCUACACCAAUCAGAAGUGAUGGAACAUUAGUCAUUAGUCAGCUCCACCAAUCAAAGAGAUGGAACACUAGUCAUGAGUCGGCUCCUUUGAUCAGAAGUGACGGAACACUAGUCAUCAGUUAGCUCCACCAGUCAGAAGCAAUGGAACGCUAGUCAUGAGUCGGCUCCUUUGAUCAGAAGUGACGGAACACUAGUCAUCAGUUAGCUCCACCAGUCAGAAGCAAUGGAACGCUAGUCAUGAGUAAGCUCCACCAAUCAGUCGGCUCCUUUGAUCAGAAGUGACGGAACACUAGUCAUCAGUCAGCUCCACCAAUCAGAACAGAUGGAACACUAGUCAAUCAGCUACAUCAGUCAGAAGUGACGGAACACUAGUCAUCAGUUGGCUCCUUUGAUCAGAAGUGACGGAACCCUAGUCAUGAGUCAGUUCCACCAAUAAGAGGAGAUGCAACACUAGUCAUGAGUCAUCUCAAUUCUCAUCACAGCUACCAGGAUAUUAUAGUUUCAGACUAUUUACAGGAAGUUCGGUGGUUCCUGAGUAAACCAGAAACAAACGAAUGCAUGGAGAAAUGCAUUGAAAAAAGGACACAAUUGGCUUCUCCUCAAACGGAGGUGCAGAAGGAUUGCUUGCAGUCUUCUCCCCAUUUCCUGCCGGUGUUAUGCCGAAACACUGCUGACGAUAUAGGCCUAAUGUUCGCACAAUGAGAACUUUAUUUGGCGAUUUUGAACUAACUUGUCUCAAAGCGUUGGUAAUUGACAUACUGAGAUGAGAAUGUGUUGCGAGUUAAGUUGGUGCUGCAGAUAGUAGGCUAAUGCCGUAAUAAUAACAAUAUAGUGGCAACAAUAUGUAUAUAUAGAAUAUGUAAAUUCCUCAUUCACUCAUUCUGGUCAAAGCUCCCCGUGGAACUGUUCAACCAAUCCAUGUCAAGUAGGUACAGGGAGACACAGCCCACAUGGAUGAUGACACAAGUCCUGUCAUGUAAAGUCCUUUAGUGCGCUGCAUAGGUAACUGGAGUGUGACACCAAACCAAAACUAACCGAAUGUAUCAAAAACUCUGGUUCGGGCCUUGGUGCGUACUUCCAGGUGUGAAAGCCCCCUUAGUGGCAUGAGGUUUCUUUAGGUAUAUUCAUUAAGAAAUUAUAUUUACUUUAUUAUUCAAUAAAAACAUAUGUUAUUGUGACUUGGCCACUGACAGACAACAUGGAAAAUGUAAGCCAAGAAUGUGAAACACUGUCACUGUUUCUGCACCACUGCCCACCAACAAUAAUAUCUGGCCAGCUGUCAGAUUAUGGUGUUUUGAUAGCAGUGCUGAAAUCAUGUCACGACAGCAACAGUUACUCAUAAUCACUUCUUCUUAAGUGCUUUUGCCUACAAAAUAAAAGCACAAUAAGCUUAUUUACUGCAAUGCAGUAUACUGAGUUGAA